rnacentral:rRNA from 1 species
GCAAUGGCGGGCGCUAUACAUGCAAGUCGAGCGAGCAGAACCAGCAGAUUUACUUCGGUAAUGAUGCUGGGGACGCGAGCGGCGGAUGGGUGAGUAACACGUGGGGAACCUGCCCCAUAGUCUGGGAUACCACUUGGAAACAGGUGCUAAUACCGGAUAAGAAAGCAGAUCGCAUGAUCAGCUUAUAAAAGACGGCGUAAGCUGUCGCUAUGGGAUGGCCCCGCGGUGCAUUAGCUAGUUGGCAGGGUAACGGCUUACCAAGGCAAUGAUGCAUAGCCGAGUUGAGAGACUGAUCGGCCACAUUGGGACUGAGACACGGCCCAAACUCCUACGGGAGGCAGCAGUAGGGAAUCUUCCACAAUGGACGCAAGUCUGAUGGAGCAACGCCGCGUGAGUGAAGAAGGUUUUCGGAUCGUAAAGCUCUGUUGUUGGUGAAGAAGGAUAGAGGUAGUAACUGGCCUUUAUUUGACGGUAAUCAACCAGAAAGUCACGGCUAACUACGUGCCAGCAGCCGCGGUAAUACGUAGGUGGCAAGCGUUGUCCGGAUUUAUUGGGCGUAAAGCGAGCGCAGGCGGAAGAAUAAGUCUGAUGUGAAAGCCCUCGGCUUAACCGAGGAACUGCAUCGGAAACUGUUUUUCUUGAGUGCAGAAGAGGAGAGUGGAACUCCAUGUGUAGCGGUGGAAUGCGUAGAUAUAUGGAAGAACACCAGUGGCGAAGGCGACUCUCUGGUCUGCAACUGACGCUGAGGCUCGAAAGCAUGGGUAGCGAACAGGAUUAGAUACCCUGGUAGUCCAUGCCGUAAACGAUGAGUGCUAAGUGUUGGGAGGUUUCCGCCUCUCAGUGCUGCAGCUAACGCAUUAAGCACUCCGCCUGGGGAGUACGACCGCAAGGUUGAAACUCAAAGGAAUUGACGGGGGCCCGCACAAGCGGUGGAGCAUGUGGUUUAAUUUCGAAGCAACGCGAAGAACCUUACCAGGUCUUGACAUCUAGUGCCAUCCUAAGAGAUUAGGAGUUCCCUUCGGGGACGCUAAGACAGGUGGUGCAUGGGCUGUCGUCAGCUCGUGUCGUGAGAUGUGGAUAGUCCCGCAAACGAGCGCAACCCUUAUUAUAGUUGCCAGCAUUAAGUUGGGCACCCCUAAUGAGGACUGCC